GACCAGAGAUGGGAAUCGAACCCACAAUGUUCCGCUUACCGGGCAGAUGCCAUGUCCACUAGGCUACCCUGGA